UUGUUCUUCAAAUCUUUAUUCUUAUUAGUUAUUACUUUUGUUCUUCUAUUUCCGUAAACUUUUGGCCACUUCUUCCGUACGUUUUUCGGCAUCUAACUAGUUGCUUAUCAAUCAAGAAGUUGCCAGUUCAAGUCCAGCAGCAGACAGUUCAUGACAUCACCUGCUUUUGACUUCCAACUUUUAACUUUUUCUUCUUCAUUUCAACAGUGAUUUCAGCCAUUUCCACCAUUGUUUCAGCAAUCCAUUCAGCGCUCAGCACUCACACGCAUUUUCUAGUUCUUCUGUACGUUUUUCGGCAUCUAACUAGUCCCACAUACUUUGUGCUAUUAAAACAUUCAGGUAUCAAAAUGUUCAGCUCAUUCAGGACAUUCCGGCUUGUAUACAACUUUUUUGUACAAUUUAUAAUUUUUGUAAUAUUUAGCUUUUUUUUUGCAAAUUUUUUCUCAUUCAAAUGAAUGGAUGGAAUGUUAAAAUUGCCUCUUUAAACCUUUACUACUUCAGCAUACUUUCACCUAGAAACUUCAUUUAAACUUUAAACUGGUCUCAAGACGUUCAGCUCUUAAGCUUCCAUUCAACUUGUUGUUAUCUUGUACAGCUUUUGAAUGACAGCAGUUUAUAUUUCAUGCUCAUUUCUGGCGAUUUCUGAGUUUAUAAUGGGUGUGUAUUGCACUGGCUAGAGUGGGUAAUGUCACUGUGUGUGGGUGUGGGUGAUGUCACACAGUGACAUACAGUGACACUGACACUCUAGCCUCAUUUCAUUGACAGCAGCUAUGUUUUUUUAAUCAAUAACACAAAUUCCAGAGGUGGGUUGAGCCACCUCUCAGUACUGUGUGACUGUGAAUGAGGGCCAGCUGGUCAUUAAGACCUCCUCUGCUCUCUGUGCUGUUUACACACACACACACACACACACACAUACAACUGAGACCUGCACAUUUACACAUGGGUCAUUCUCAUUGGUGGACUUCCCCUACACACAUAUCAACUUUAACCUGUUUUAACACACACAUAUACACGCACACACAUGUACACACAACUGACACCUGCACAUUAACACACUGGUCAUUUUGAUUGGUGAUUUACCCUAACACACACCUCUCCUUUGAACUGUUUGUCCCUCACCUCCUCUCUCUCUCUCUCGCUCUUGCUCUUUCUCUCUCUCUCUCUCUCACUUGCGCACACACACAUCCUUCAUACUUUCUGCUAUAGAAACCAUUCAAUUAUCAAGAGGCUUAAACUAUUACCCUUUUUACAUUUGUGCUUAUUCAACUUUCUUCAACUCUUUACACUUUUUAAAAUGUUCAACUUUGCUAUUGCAAUUUUGCUAUUCAACUGAAUAGUUCAGCUGUUGGUUUUAACUUUCAGCUUCUGCAUCUAUCCUCUCUCUCUCUGCUAAUUUCCACUUUAAUCAUUGCUUCAGAAAUUACUUUUGAUUCCAACUGACUUCCAACUUCUAUGUUUUUCUUCUUCAUUUCAACAAUGAUUUCAGUCAUUUCCAGCAUUGCUUCAGCGAUUCAUUCAGCUCUCAGGAUUCAUACGCAUUUUCCACAGGAAAUGCAUUUUCUGGUUUUAUUUUGGUAUUCCUUUCCCUCCUGUUUCUUGGUCUUGUACUUCCUGUUUUAUUUUGUAAUUACUGUCCUGGUUUAUCUAGUGUGAGUUUACUUCUAGUCUUUGUCCUGUGUUUCCCUCCUUUUUUCAGCCCUCACCUGUGUCCUAUGAGUAAUCACCCCCACUGUAUAUAUUAAGACCUGUGUCUUCCCAGUUCUUGGUCAGAGGAUUGAGUUUGUUCCUGCGUCCUGAUCCUCUUCUUGUGUUUUCCUGGUUCCCCAGUGUUUCACCCUUCUUUUGGAUUUUGUACUGUUGGAAGUCUUAUCUACCUCCUGGUAUGUUUUUAUUUUUUUGGUUGCGUCUUGUUUUUUCAAUUCAAUUAUUGAACUCUCCUGGACUCUCCUGCAUCAGGCUACUCACCAAGAGGUCUUGAAUAUUAUAUGUUUAAAUUUCUUUUUCUUCUUUUUUUUUUCUUUCUUUUUUUUCCUUUUUUUUUUUUUCUUCAUGGUUUCGUGUGUGGACACGGCCUGAAAGAUGACUCUGAAUAGCUGGUAUCACCCAACUCAAUCCAACCUACAGUCAUUUCACAGCUGCCUUUCAAGCCCACCAGGGAUGAAUUCUGGAAACUGAAUGCUGAUCUCACAUUUAGCAAGACUGCAGUAAGAUAUUUUUGACACUGGCAACUAACCUUUUGAAAAGAUCAAAACUGAUAUCAUUAAAGAUCUAUGUCUCAGUACUGAAUGUUGAUCUGUUGUUUGAGAGAGCUUCUUUGUAUGAGGCUUCCUCAAAUGUGGGUGAUUGCUGACUCAAGCUGCAGAGAUCUUACCACUGCAGCUGCAAGGUCUUGUCAUGGUUAAUUACAUGCUUGGUCAUGUUGUGCUCUAUUGAGCUAUGAAAAAAACUCUCAUGAGAGUUUUAUUUGUUUUGCAGUAAAACCACUACAUUCAGAUGUAUUCUCAAGAGAAUCCUUGAAGUAAGUGGCAGGGCAGUUAUCAAAGAAUCUGACUGCUCCGUGUAAUAGGUCUAAAAGAGUCUGCUUUGAUUUAAUCAACAAUCGAGUCAGACAAGAUCUCCUGUUUUCACAUUACACUUUACCAUUAUGUCACAGUACAAAUCCACAACAUGAACUACAAUCAACAAAAGGGAAAUGAAACAGUUGUGAAAUAUUGCACAAGAAAUUAUUUUCUCAGUAUCUCCAGUAAGUAAGGUCACCCAGCGAUCAGAAAUCCCUGUAAACAUGUAAUGUCCAUUUUUUUUUCUGAGCAGUUGAAAGAGCUCCAGGAGUUUAGCUGUCUAUGGGAGAAAAGGAGGCCAUUUCAAAGCUGAGAAAAGAGGGAAAAUUGAUCAGAGCCAAAAACAACAAUCUAGAGUGUCCUGAAAAAGAAAAACUGGUGAACUGAGCAACAGACAUUGAAUAGGUCAGCCAAGAACAACAACAGCUGCUAAUGAUAACAUUAUGAGAGCUGUGAGGAAAAACCCAAAGUGGAAGGUUUUGGACUGCCUGAGCCGAUCACUGGAUCUAGAGGAUGCACUUCAAUUGAAGGAAACUGAUAUAUUCCAAACAAAGAGUUUAGGGUAGGAUCUUAAUCUUCAUUAUUUCCUCCAGUGAUUGUUUAACUUCCUUCCAGAACUCUCCCUCCUUUCCACACUCCCACACAGUGAAAAAUGUGUUCCCUUCAUCAGUCUUCAUCUGGCACACAGAUGUGGAAUUUCAGUGAUGUAUUUGUUUCAUUUUUCUACUACGAUAUACAGUAUGUCCUCAUCAGCUAAUCAUACUGUAGUAUUUUAAGACGGGUAUUUAUGCUUCCUUCCAGGCAGUCUUUAGUCAUCUCAGCUUCCACUUUUAAGAGAAGAGGAAAUUUCUCAACUGCAAGUAUUUUUAAAAAUGGGGGGUUCUCUGUACUCCUUUUACGUUUAUUGACUCUAUCUGAGCAUUAAUACUGAGUGAGUAGUGGUGUAACUCAGUAAUAUUCCAUGUAACUGUCUUAUCAGAGUAACUUCAGGAGUAACUUAGUGACGUCAGGUUUAACUUCCUGAUUAACCUGUACUACGAAAGGUGGAUAGGUUUUACCUGGGGUCUGCUGCCAUGGUCAUUUACACUGCAUCUCUAAACUGCUCCGAGCAGUUUCUGUUCGUGGUGUAGUAGUGGAUGAUAGCGGUAUGUGGACCAAUAAAUUGUGUUUUUUUUAAUGCUCUGUCUUUUCUAUUUUCAAUUUCAGUUAUUUAAUUUGUAUUUUUUUCAAGCGGCAGAAUUUAGCAUCAUUAGUGUUGCAUAUUAUCGAUUUGAAUAAUAAUUUAAAUGGGGUGCGGGGCAUUAUUGUCCUGAAAGACAAUAUAAUACAACAGGCUGUUGUAAUUGUAGACUACAGACCAACACAUGCAGCAUUAAUGAUGGGAAAUAUGAAUGUGUAGCACUUUAUAGAAUGUUUCUAUUUGAUCCAGGUUCAGUUUCCACUGAGGCUGAAAUACUGUUAACAUGAAGUUCAUACUGAACAUAACAGCAUUACAUUCAUACAUAUACAGCCUGAGUGUUCCAAGUAGAACAUCAUUAACAGUAACAGCUAAUUCUCAGACAUGUGACCCACGUGUUGUCUGUAAUCCAAGUAUCCGGAAAAUCAUCACAUAAGUUCCGUGUCCUUACAUCUCAUACUACAGAUAAAGAACCCAGGGAACAUGUGACAAGUCUCCCUGUCUUUGUUGGCAGCCUGAGAGAUACGGUGCACGCAUGUUUUAUGCAGACGCACUAACUCUGAUUAAGUUAACACCGGCUCAGAUCGAGGCAGUCAGGGUUUGUCAAUCCCGACUUUCCUUGAUAACCUGAGUUAAAUCAGAGGAGGUUAAACUCCAUUCGUAGUACAGGCCUCUGCUCUAUAUUUACAGUGCCUCAAGACAACCUCUAUUGUGAUUUGGUGCUAUAUAAAUAAAAGUGACUUGACUUGAAUGCAUACACCCUGCUCAGCAGUUACUACACACUACAUAAACAAAUGCAAAACGCAGGAGUGUUAGUUGUGUUUAACUUUUGAGGCCUGUGUGUGUCAUUCUGGGUCAAAGUGCACCACACUGAAAAUGUGUUUUGUGAAUGUGUUUAGAGUUUUGCAAAAUGGGUGUUUCAGAUUUGCAAAUUGUGUCUAACCAGAUAAACAGUGUUUAAAGUUUUGCCAACUGUGUGAUUGUUCUGAUGAUGUUAUUUUGGCAGUUGACAGUUUAGAAAAUGGGGUUUAGUGUUUUGGCAAUUCAGAAAAACUGUAAUGCACAUUUUCAAAGCUUAAAAUGAAGCAUUGUCCAUGUGUGACUCCAGAAA